rnacentral:lncRNA from 1 species
UAAUGGGGCCAAGGACAAGGGAGGAUAAAUAUGGAUGAGAAGCUACAAACCAAAGGGAAUAGAGGAGCAAUGGGGAACAAGUGCAAAUACAAUCAAAUCACACCCAAACCCUCUAAUUCAAUCCUCUUCUUGACUCCAUUAUACACAACAUUUUUUUUUUUAAUUUUUCUCAUUUUUCUGUAUUUUUUUUCUUUUUUUUUUCUUCAUGUUGUCUCUUUUCUUUUCCUUUCUAUUUAGAACACAACUGUAAGAGACAAGAUACACAUCAUAUUCACAAAAACGAAAACAAGAAGAGGAACCAACUAGCCAAUUAAUCUGAAUCCCCCGGGAGACCACACUUAUUCCCAAAACAAUUCCAAAGCUCCAAAAUUCCCUAAGGUUAAGGUAAUCAUGGUUUUUUGUUUUUAACUUAGGGCUAGUGUAUGAGCUUCAAAACAAAGAAAUGGGGAAAGUAAAGGCUCAAAGGGGCUAUCAACGGAUCACAACAAGGUAGGCUCAUUUGGC